rnacentral:rRNA from 1 species
AUUGAACGCUGGCGGCAUGCCUUACACAUGCAAGUCGAACGGUAACAGGUUAAGCUGACGAGUGGCGAACGGGUGAGUAAUACAUCGGAACGUGCCCAGACGUGGGGGAUAGCUGGGCGAAAGCCGGAUUAAUACCGCAUGUGAUGUGAGGAUGAAAGCGGGGGACCGUAAGGCAUCGCGCGUUUGGAGCGGCCGAUGGCAGAUUAGGUAGUUGGUGGGGUAAAGGCUUACCAAGACUACGAUCUGUAGCUGGUCUGAGAGGACGACCAGCCACCCUGGGACUGAGACACGGCCCAGACUCCUACGGGAGGCAGCAGUGGGGAAUUUUGGACAAUGGGCGAAAGCCUGAUCCAGCAAUGCCGCGUGCAGGAUGAAGGCCUUCGGGUUGUAAACUGCUUUUGUACGGAACGAAAAGGCGCCUACUAAUACUGGGUGUUGAUGACGGUACCGUAAGAAUAAGCACCGGCUAACUACGUGCCAGCCGCCGCCGUAAGAC